rnacentral:tRNA from 1 species
GGGCCUGUAGUCGAAUGGCUAAGACGCUACCCUUACAAGGUAGAGAUUGGGAGUUCGAUCCUCCCCGGGCCCAC